AACGAACGCUGGCGGCAGGCCUAACACAUGCAAGUCGAGCGAACCCUUCGGGGUUAGCGGCGGACGGGUUGGUAACGCGUGGGAAUAUACCCUUUGGUACGGAAUAGCCUCGGGAAACUGAGAGUAAUACCGUAUGUGCCCUUCGGGGGAAAGAUUUAUCGCCAAAGGAUUAGCCCGCGUUGGAUUAGAUAGUUGGUGGGGUAAUGGCCUACCAAGUCUACGAUCCAUAGCUGGUUUGAGAGGAUGAUCAGCAACACUGGGACUGAGACACGGCCCAGACUCCUACGGGAGGCAGCAGUGGGGAAUCUUAGACAAUGGGCGCAAGCCUGAUCUAGCCAUGCCGCGUGGACGACGAAGGCCUUAGGGUUGUAAAGUCCUUUCAGAUGGGAAGAUAAUGACGGUACCAUCAGAAGAAGCCCCGGCUAACUCCGUGCCAGCAGCCG
rnacentral:rRNA from 1 species